AGAGUCUUAGUUGCUUCUGAUAAACUGCUGCAGAUAUCAGUGAUCUUACCUGGAGUCCAAUAAGUCUAGUCCUGAAGAACCAUUGCCUCUCCGACAGUGACUCCACGAUUUUCACAAAGAACAGACCAGCAGUCAGUGCAUAAACAUCAUAUCUAGAAGCUGCAUCGGCAUCGACAACCUUGAUGAAAGCUAUGAGAAACAGCGGGGAGACAGUCAUUGCGAGAAUCUUGAGGAGUGCAAAGAACCCUGAAACCAAAAUUGCUUUCCACUGGCAGAAAAAAAUUAUGGUCAGAACAGAAGGGUCACUACUGGAUGGAUGUCUUUCCUUUCUUUUCUGCAAUUGCACCUUAAAUACUGAGUGCAACGUUCUUGCUCGAUCAGCUUCUCGCAAUUGUGGAAUAUCUUCAUUCUCAAGAAUCUUUUCCUUACCUUUCUUCAUCAAAGGAUUCAACCACCAAAAUGUCAUUUUACUAAACAAUCCAGCCUUUGCAAAAUGAGUUACAUUGUCAUCUGAACUGAUUUCAUCACCUGUGAUAUCCUGUUCUGCACCAGGCAAAGGUGUGUAGCAUGCAUCACCAUCAUGGACUUCCAGAUCACCCUGUGCAUUAUUGCUUCCUUCAAAUGCACUAAAAAGCAACAGAACUGAUCCAGGGAAACAAAGAAUGUUCAAAACAAUCAGAACUGAUAAGGUCUCAUCCAUAAUAAAUUCCCAAACUGAUGAACCACAGAGAAGAAAUGCAAUCAAGAAACCAAAAAUUGAAAAGAAUUUCAUUAUUGCAUAAUGUGGAAGGUCUGGUUUCGAGAGGUUUAUGGUAAAACCCAGGCCCAACCAUGUAAACCCUUGAAAAAAAUAUACUAGCCAUCCAUGUAGAGGUAAAACCGUGUGAUAUGUAUCUACUUUCUCAAUGAUUAUCCAUAUCCCCAGUCCCAAGUAAGCCAAAGCCAAACCAGCAUUGAAAAUGACUGAGACAAUUGAUACUGUAGAGAAGGUGUAAGGUUGUGAUGGUGCUAUAAUCUUCUUUGACGCUAUUCUAUACAUAAGGAAACAUAACAAGAUGAAUAGGAGCAAAAUAUCAACUGCAAUGACCACAACAUUGUUGAUACAUGAAUUUGGAUUGAUAAUGGCUAGAAUGCCAGAACUGCAUUCAUUUCCGGACUCAUUUGAACACUCGGAACCAGUGCAGAAUAAGGUCCAGAAACCCUCCCCCAUGCUGUUCCCCAGUAAUCUGUAAAGUCUGCACAAUUACAAGCAAGAAGAAUUUAAAAGCAGAAAAGGAAAUGUAUGUUAUAUACACUGUUAAUUUUAAGCAGACUAACAAAAUUAAGACCACAUAUGAACAACAUAUAUGUACUUGAAAACAUAAUUGUAAAGGUGAGUGCAUACCUUUUCACAGAUUCGGAGAAAACUUCUCUGAUAGUCGGGUACAUAUGAAGUUAGCACCAAGUAAGGAAAAUGUACUAUUCAAGUUUGAAUGCUAUAAACCUAUACCCAUCAAAUGCAUAUAAUAUAACUCAAUAAAGAUGCAUUCAGACAUUGGGAAAACACAGAAAUCUCCCUCUAGGUCUAACAUGCAUUCAAAUAUAAAUGCUUACUUGUUUUUCUUUGGAGGUCUCUAGCUAGUUCAUGCAGUAACCUGCCUUUCAAACACACACACACACACACACACACACACACACACACAGAUUUUUCUGUCUUUAUCAAAAGCAAGAAUUCAUACCCUGCGAACUUGUCUCUCUCGUUAUAGUGCUUUUAAUGAGCGAUAUGCACAUUUAACCACCAAUUUUGAUCUUCUUUUUGCACAGUUAAUUCAAACAACCCACCUAUCCAUAACACAGCUACAGAUAUAACCAAUUUUCGAUCUAGUAGGUCUUUCUAAGGGAGAUAUAGUACUAAUUAAUAAAGGAAAAUUAUGACAUGUAGAAUGAGCUGACAAAUUACUUGUAUUGUCAACAGAAAAGGACAAAGCUAGACUGGUUAGCCUUUCUCUUAUUGUCAAUAGAAAAGGAAACACUCCCCCCUUUUUCAAAAAAAAAAAAAAAAAGGAAACACUUGGGAGUCUCUGUUCCCUGUUCUCUGUUCUUAGCAGCAGUACUUCUGAACAUGCAAGUCCAGUUAUCCUUGUAGGAUGUUUUGAUCUUUUUAGACCUCCCAAAGAAUCAUGUAUGGCAAUGAUCAUAGAUGCCUUUUUUUGUUUGUCCAGUUUACCUUAGGAAACAAGUACACACUAUAUAUUAUAUGCCUGCACUGGAAAAUUAGAUUCAAGAUGUCACAUAUGGUUAUGGGAGGGACCAUAUGCAAUUCAAAACUUAGGCGGGCACUUAAUAAUUUCUGCAAACUAGAAACAGAUCCAAGUAAAUUCGAUAUGGCAGAAAACAUAAACAUAUGUUUUAUGGCUACUAAAAAAACUACCAUUCAGUAGCUGAUGCAGCAGACUACAGAUGGACCAAAUCUCCCACGGGAUGAUAAAUUGAUAUUAUAUGCUUCAAUGUUUUAUCUUCCAUUUUUUUUUUGGUAAGCGUUGAAGGACUAAUUUAUUGUCCCUCACGAAAAUUUAUUUGAUAAAAAAAAGGUACAAGAAGCUGGCGGACUAGGCCAAUGCCAGCCAUAUAGUACAAAUAACCUCUUUUGUAAAUAAACAAGUAAUCACAUAAAAAAACAUCAAUAAACACAUGACAAAGACAUUAACAAAUACGAAAAUUCGGGAGACCAAGUGCAUCUCGCCGGCAAUGAUCAACGAUGGAAAGAAAGAGAAGGAACAUCCCACCAUGACAUGCCGGUCAAUGAUAUCCGACCAUGAUGCAGUAUCUACUACAAUGAAAAUCUGCUCUAGAUCUGCUACAAUUAGUGAAUGUAAAGGCAUCAAUAGAUAGACAUAGCUACUAGGCCAGUUGUGUGGUUCAGAACAUAAGUGAACUUCACUCCCCAAGGCCAAUAUCUUCUCUACCCAACAAAAAGUCAUAUGGGUACUAUUGAACAUACCAAACCUUCAUACAAGAUAACAUUACACGUGAUAUAAUAACAUGUAAAGCAUGCUAAAAUACUUACCAUAUCCAAUAACAAGCACCUUAGUGCAGUCCAUCUCCAUCUGUCUGUAUCUUACUGUCAUUUCAGUAGUCUGUUCCAGCGUCCGUUGAAUUGGUGGCCAGGUUGCAGCUGAAUGCUUACACUUGGUACAAGUAAGAAUCAGGUCUCACUCAGUACUACACUGAUUAGUAUUGAGUUUUACUGGUCCCAUUUUCAACUGGUGGUCGAUGCUCAAGUACUCUCACUAUUCACUAUAACAACGCUACAAAAUAUUGGUCCUAUAUUAAUUGCUACUUGAUCUUCAAUUUGUAUGUUUCGUGCAAUUAAUCACUUUUCCGACCAAUAAUUUAAUGUGUCUUAUAUUUGGGAAUAAUUGAAAAGCACAAAGAAGAGCCUGCUGCCAAGUGCCAACUUAGAGACAGCCAUUUCUGGACUUUACUUCAUUUGCAAGUCUUAGGAAAAAAUAAGUUAGGUACGCCCAACCCUUUCUGUGACCAAACAGAUUUUCAACUCCUGAAUAGGGGAUAAUUGCAUACCCCCAGCAAGGGUACGUACUUGCCACAAACUAAUUCUGAUAUUAUGAAUGUGAGGCAGAUAUGCUCUAGAAAACAUACAUAAUGCACCCCUUUUAUUACAAUGCUAAUGGAAGGAAGCAAAAAGGAAAACAGAUAUAGUGGCCACUAGUAACAGGUAUGAAAAUACACAAGGGAAAUGAAACAAGUCUAGCAGGCAGAGCUUUAUUUACUACGUGAUCGAAAGCACCCCAGUACCUUUCACUAUCAGCCUUCUGAGUGCAUGCUAGCAUUGGCAGAACGAGACCAGUAUUCCUUAACAAGCUGCCCGAAUAGUGAUCCCUCAUUGUUCAUCAGCUUCAUUGGCUCAUCAUACUCUACUACUUUGCCUGUCAGUGUAAAUUUAGAAAAUGAACACCUAACAUCAAAUCAAAUAAUAAAUAAACAAAAGAGUAUUCCGUUCAUGGUGGGCACUUACCAUCACUAAGAGCGAGAACCUUAGUGCAGUCCAUCACGGUGGGUAUCCUAUGUGCCACUGUUAUUACAGUGCAGUCUGCAAAUUCUGUUCUUAUAGUUUUUUGGAGAAAAGAGUCUGUUGCAUUGUCCAUUGAUGCUGUGGCUUCAUCAAGCACUAGAAUUCGGCUUUUCUUCAGUAAAGCACGCCCCAAGCAGAACAGUUGUCGUUGUCCCAUGCUCCAGUUUGUUCCGUCUUGCACAACUGCAUUACCAUCUUUUUAGAUGUGCUUUCAUUGACACCAAAAAGUGCUACUCGGUACAUAACUUCUUACCUAAAGAAUCCAGGCCCCCUUCUUCCUCUCCAAUGGCCUCCCGUAGCUGACAUUUCUCAAGAACCUUUUCACAAAUCAAUGAAAGAAAUGUAAGUUGCAGAAAGAAACUACUGAGUAUGAAAUGGAUUUACUUGGCUUGUUAAGGACUUGCAAAAGAAAAUACCAUAGCUAAACAUGGAAUUAACCAACCAAUACUAGAAUUGAUCAUAGACUCGUACUCGUUAACAAAAAAGAAGAAAAACAGACUAUUUGUUAUUAGACUGAAAUAAAUAAGCUUUACCUCCCAUAUUUCAUGAUCGGUAUGCUCUGCCAAGGGAUCGAGGUUGUAUCUCACAGACCCGCCAAACAAUGUCGGAUCUUGAGGGAUGAUCCCAAAACGUGAUCUUAAAUCAUAAAGGCCAAUUGUGCAUAUGUCAUAGCCAUCAACGAUGACCCUUCCCCCUGUAGGCUCUACCAGACGAAACAAAACACUGAUAAGAGUUGUCUUUCCACUUCCAGUCCGGCCAACAAUUCCAAUUUUGUGGCCUCCCUCAAUGAUGCAGUUUAUCCCAUGGAGAACCAAAGGAGAAUUUGGCCUAUAUCUUACCUGCAUAAUGUUUGAGUGUCAUGUACAAGUUUAAAUUAAUGUUCGUAGAGUAGUACUCUUUACUUCUUUAGCAUGUAUUGUUAUGCUAACCUCUAAGUCAUGUAUUUCCACUUUACCAACAAUAGGCCAAUUGUGUGCAGGUCGGUUGUCUUUUAUCACUUCUGCAGCUUCGCUAGGAAUGUGCAUGUAUUGUUCUACCCUUUCUACAGAAAUGAUUGAAUUUGCUAAAAAGCAAUGAAAUUGGACCAAAAGUACUAGAAAGAUAUUCAGUGAAAGGCCAUAUGAUAGUGUCAUCCCAAUAAAUCCUGUCGAAAGAUGAAAAAUGUUAGACGGGUAUGAAUAAAUGGUUAUGAGGCACAUGAUUCAACCAGAGCAGAAGCUACUAUAUACUAACCAGAUGAAGAAGCACCGGACUGAAUCGAAGUAAUGGCAAAUGCUGAGGCUGAGAGAACAAUAGCACAAAGCAAUUCUAGACGUUCAAUUAACCACUCGUUGGUUGAGAAGCUAUUGAAGUCAGCACUAGAAUUUGCAUCAAUGAAUUCUAAGUUUUUGGAGAAGAAUCUUUCCUCCUGUCCAAAAGCUCUGAUUGUCACUGCUCCAGCAAUAGAUUCUGAAAGGUGGCUUGCAAGUGCAGACUUAGUCGUGCCAUUCAUGCGCAUCAACUCUUUUGAAGAUGCAAAGUAGUAACUCUAUUUGUAGAAAAGACAACCAUAUUCAAGUAAAACUGCAAGGAAAUGACUGAAGUUCUAAAUAUUGUGGUUAUUUAGGUUGGUUUUAGUGCAGUACCUGAAGGCGAAAAGUAACAUAAACUGUAGGUACAAUCAGGAAUAGUAGUGGCCAAGUAAGAAAAACCAUGACUAAGAAUAUGCUAAAUGUGUUCAGAGUUGCUCCAACAGCUACUGUUAACCUUAGCGCUACUUCAAGGUCGAUGAUAUUCAUAUCAGUAGAUACCUGAAAAGAUUGGCAAAUGCAAAUAUAAGAAACCUCCAUUUGGUUGCUGUAACAACAGAUACUUGAAGAGCAGAUUAUUUAAGCUAUAAUUGGACACUGUUAUAUCUUACCCGACUAAGUAUCCUCCCCAAAGGUGUUGAAUCAUAAAACAGCAUUGGUGCUCGGAAAAGGGAGUUCAGUAGGGUGGAGAAAAUGGAUUCUGAUGCUCCACAUCCUAAAUCGACAAUCCUAAAAGAUCGAAGAAGCAUACAGAAGGCCAUAAUACAAAAGAUCACAGAGUAAACUGUGAAGAGUUUGACCCUGGAAAUGCUGUAAUCCUGAAGAUUCAAAGCCAACCAAAAGUUUUGAAGUAACUGCCCAACUAUGAAUAGAAACAAGAAAACAACUGAUAAAGAGAAGUGCAAGAAUCCCUUGCCAUGCUUCAAAUACUGAAUGCAUGGCUUGAACCCAGUGUCUCCUGUUUCUCUCUCUUCUUUCUUAAUCAAUUGAUCUCCCGAAAAUUCUAUAAGUUGUACGUCAGUUCUAACAUUCUCAAUCUCCUCUGCAGACGAUUUAUGUUUUCUAGUGGAGGCAUAUUCAACUUGCCUCUGGGAACCAAAAUUCUUAUUGUGUGCAUUAACAGGUUCUCGAAAUUCUUGACAAAAAGCCAGCAACUCUUCGUAAGGAGCUGCUCCUGAAAUCGUCCCUGAAGACAUCAACUGUGACAAAAAGACAGUACACUACAUCACCUGUACUUACUGUACAUGCAUAUCAUUGAAUGGAAACUUUUUACAUGUACUAAAACCAACAAAGCUAAAAUACUAUUAAAACAAAGACAAAAGAACAUUAAUGAAUAGAACAACUGAGACAUUAGAAGAACUUAUACCAAUAUUGAAUCAAAAGAUUGAAGGAAGUCGACUUGGUGUGUCACAAGCAACACUGUCUUCUCUGCCAGAGCACCCAUGACAUAGUCCUGGAAAACUUUCACAUCAGAUUCCAAAGCACACAAAAAUGAUUACUAUUUACUACUUGAAAGAUAUAAUUACAUUAAAUAGGCUUGUGGCUGUAUGGGCAUCAACCGCACUGAAUGGAUCAUCCAAGAGGUAGACAUCUGCAUUUUGAUACAAUGCACGUGCCAGUUGGAUGCGUUGCUUCUGGCCACCACUUAGAUUGACACCUCUUUCUCCUAUCUGAGUGAGAUCUCGGAAUGGAAGUAUAUCUAAGUCCUUUACAAGAGAACACUUCCUAAGAGUUUCAUGGUAUCUAACAUGAUCCAUGGGAGUCCCAAACAGAAUAUUAUCUUGUAUAGUUCCUGUUUCAAUCCAAGCAGACUGAGAAACAUAUGCUAUCGUGCCAUAUACUUGAACCUGUAAAUUUGUGCAGUCACAAGAUGUAACUAGUAAGACUUCAAAUUUGUAGUAGUUAUAUAUAUAUAUAUAUAUAUAUAUAUAAUUGAAAUGAAUGCUUACAAUGCCAGUGAUAUGUGGAACUUCUCCAAGAAUAGCAGCCAAAAGAGUUGAUUUUCCUGAGCCAACCUCUCCACAAAUAGCUACUUUUUCUCCUUGUUUCACCACUAAAUCUAUGUUCCUCAAUGUAGGCUUUGUAGGACUAGUAUCCCAUGAAAUUUCUGAAGAUCUAAUGAAAAUGGAAUGUUCAACCUCCUUGCCACUGCUCACUUUCCUUGUAUGUCUGUUCUCCAACUCUGGUGCAUCAAGGAACUUCACAAUCUGAGAGAAGGACACCUGUGCUUCAAUGAAUGCUCCCAAAACAUCUGGGAUAAACCUUAUUGGCUCCUGAAGAAUACGCAAAGUUGCUAAAAAAGUGAAGACAUUACUUGGAGAGAGUGCAAAUCCAAGCAAGUAGCAUGUCCAAAAGGUGACAGCUGCUGCCAAAACAGGUGCUGUCCAGAAUAAAGCAUUACAAUAACCCUUUUGUGAGACUACUUUAGAUAUCCAUUUGAGUUCUUCUACUCUAAGCUCUUCUAUGACCUUCUUGAAAUUUUUCUCCCAAGAAUACAGCUUCAAGAUCUUCAUAUUUGAUAGUGCUUCCGUCAUGGCCUUCAGCCUCUUCUUUUGUGCAAUCAUGAACUUUGUUUGAUAUUCAUGCUGCAACUUUGCCAAUGGAGAGCUUACCACCACAGUCAAUAUGAGAGCAGUUACAGCUGCAACUGUUGCUGCCCCAACAGCGAAGUAAAUAAUAAUCAAAGAGAGACACAACUGGAGGGUUGUGGACCAAAUCUGAUGCAACCAGAAUGGAAAUUCACCAACCCUGUAAGCAUCCACUGUUACAUAAUUCACCAUCUCACCAGGAGAAUGAGUCAUCUUGGCAGCAUUUGAGAGUCUUAGUUGCUUCUGAUAAACUUCUGCAGAUAUCAAUGAUCUUAUCUGGAGUCCAAUAAGUCUAGUUCUAAAGAACCAUUGCCUCUCCGACAGUGACUCCACAAUUUUCACAAAGAACAGACCAGCGGUCAGUGCAUAAACCUCAUAUCUAGAAGCUGCAUUGGCAUCAACAACCUUGAUGAAAGCUAUGAGAAACAGUGGGGAGACAGUCAUUGCGAGAAUCUUGAGGAGUGCAAAGAACCCUGAAAC
rnacentral:lncRNA from 1 species